rnacentral:rRNA from 1 species
CGAACGAAACUUCUUUAUCACCGAGUGCUUGCACUCACCGAUAAAGAGUUGAGUGGCGAACGGGUGAGUAACACGUGGGCAACCUGCCCAAAAGAGGGGGAUAACACUUGGAAACAGGUGCUAAUACCGCAUAACCAUAGUUACCGCAUGGUAACUAUGUAAAAGGUGGCUAUGCUACCGCUUUUGGAUGGGCCCGCGGCGCAUUAGCUAGUUGGUGGGGUAAAGGCUUACCAAGGCAAUGAUGCGUAGCCGAACUGAGAGGUUGAUCGGCCACAUUGGGACUGAGACACGGCCCAAACUCCUACGGGAGGCAGCAGUAGGGAAUCUUCCACAAUGGGCGAAAGCCUGAUGGAGCAACGCCGCGUGGGUGAAGAAGGUCUUCGGAUCGUAAAACCCUGUUGUUAGAGAAGAAAGUGCGUGAGAGUAACUGUUCACGUUUCGACGGUAUCUAACCAGAAAGCCACGGCUAACUACGUGCCAGCAGCCGCGGUAAUACGUAGGUGGCAAGCGUUAUCCGGAUUUAUUGGGCGUAAAGGGAACGCAGGCGGUCUUUUAAGUCUGAUGUGAAAGCCUUCGGCUUAACCGGAGUAGUGCAUUGGAAACUGGGAGACUUGAGUGCAGAAGAGGAGAGUGGAACUCCAUGUGUAGCGGUGAAAUGCGUAGAUAUAUGGAAGAACACCAGUGGCGAAAGCGGCUCUCUGGUCUGUAACUGACGCUGAGGUUCGAAAGCGUGGGUAGCAAAC